UCGCAUACAGGAAUAACGUUUCGUAUAAUUCCGGGAAUUGGCCCGGAAGUUUCUACGAGAUCACCGUAAAUGAUCUGGCUACGAACAAGGAUAACCGGUUC
rnacentral:ncRNA from 2 species